AUUGAACGCUGGCGGCAGGCCUAACACAUGCAAGUCGAGCGGAUGAGGAAAGCUUGCUUUUCGAUUCAGCGGCGGACGGGUGAGUAAUGCCUAGGAAUCUGCCUGUUAGUGGGGGAUAACUCGGGGAAACUCGGGCUAAUACCGCAUACGUCCUACGGGAGAAAGUGGGGGAUCUUCGGACCUCACGCUAACAGAUGAGCCUAGGUCGGAUUAGCGAGUAGGUGAGGUAAUGGCUCACCUAGGCGACGAUCCGUAACUGGUCUGAGCGGAUGAACAGUCACACUGGAACUGAGACACGGUCCAGACGCCUACGGGAGGCAGCAGUGGGGGAUAUUGGACCGUUAGCGAAAGCCUGAUCCAGCCAUGCCGCGUGUGUGAAGAAGGUCUUCGGAUUGCAAAGCACUUUAAGUUGGGAGGAAGGGUAUUCACCUAAUACGUGGGUACUUUGACGUUACCAACAGAAUAAGCACCGGCUAACUCUGUGCCAGCCGCCGCGGUAAAAC
rnacentral:rRNA from 1 species